GGAUUAGGCAUGCAAGUCGAACGGGAUCAAAUCGGUAGUAAUACUGGCUUGAUCUAGUGGCGAACGGGUGCGUAACACGUGAACAAUCUGCCGAGAAGUGGGGGAUAACUUGCCGAAAGGUAAGCUAAUACCGCAUGUGGCCAGGAGGGACAUCCCUCCGAAGCUAAAGCCGUAAGGCGCUUCUUGAUGAGUUCGCGGCCUAUCAGCUUGAUGGCGGGGUAAAAGCCCACCAUGGCAAUGACGGGUAGCUGGUCUGAGAGGACGAUCAGCCACACUGGAACUGAGACACGGUCCAGACACCUACGGGUGGCAGCAGUCGAGAAUCAUUCACAAUGGGGGAAACCCUGAUGGUGCGACGCCGCGUGGAGGACGAAGGCCUUCGGGUCGUAAACUCCUGUCAUGCGGGAACAAGAAAGUGAUAGUACCGCAAGAGGAAGAGACGGCUAACUCUGUGCCAGCAGCCGCGGUAAUACAGAGGUCUCAAGCGUUGUUCGGAUUCAUUGGGCGUAAAGGGUGCGUAGGUGGCGAUCCAAGUCUGGUGUGAAAUCUCGGGGCUCAACCCCGAAAUUGCAUUGGAUACUGGUCAGCUAGAGGAUUGUAGAGGAGAGUGGAACUUCUGGU
rnacentral:rRNA from 1 species